CAGUAUCUCUCUGGGAUGGUCUGGUGUUGAAUAGCUAGGCUCUGUCAGGUCAUAGUUCAUCAGUAUCUCUCUGGGAUGGUCUGGUGUUGAAUAGCUAGGCUCUGUCAGGUCAUAGUUCAUCAGUAUCUCUCUGGGAUGGUCUGGUGUUGAAUAGCUCGGCUCUGUCAGGUCAUAGUUCAUCAGUAUCUCUCUCUGGGAUGGUCUGGUGUUGAAUAGCUAGGCUCUGUCAGGUCAUAGUUCAUCAGUAUCUCUCUCUGGGAUGGUCUGGUGUUGAAUAGCUAGGCUCUGUCAGGUCAUAGUUCAUCAGUAUCUCUCUCUGGGAUGGUCUGGUGUUGAAUAGCUAGGCUCUGUCAGGUCAUAGUUCAUCAGUAUCUCUCUGGGAUGGUCUGGUGUUGAAUAGCUAGGCUCUGUCAGGUCAUAGUUCAUCAGUAUCUCUCUCUGGGAUGGUCUGGUGUUGAAUAGCUAGGCUCUGUCAGGUCAUAGUUCAUCAGUAUCUCUCUCUGGGAUGGUCUGGUGUUGAAUAGCUAGGCUCUGUCAGGUCAUAGUUCAUCAAUAU